AUUGAACGCUGGCGGCAUGCUUUACACAUGCAAGUCGAACGGCAGCACGGGCUUCGGCCUGGUGGCGAGUGGCGAACGGGUGAGUAAUAUAUCGGAACGUACCCAGAAGUGGGGGAUAACGUAGCGAAAGUUACGCUAAUACCGCAUACGAUCUAUGGAUGAAAGCAGGGGACCGCAAGGCCUUGUGCUCCUGGAGCGGCCGAUAUCUGAUUAGCUAGUUGGUGAGGUAAAGGCUCACCAAGGCGACGAUCAGUAGCUGGUCUGAGAGGACGACCAGCCACACUGGAACUGAGACACGGUCCAGACUCCUACGGGAGGCAGCAGUGGGGAAUUUUGGACAAUGGGCGCAAGCCUGAUCCGGCAAUGCCGCGUGAGUGAAGAAGGCCUUCGGGUUGUAAAGCUCUUUUGUCAGGGAAGAAACGGUAGAGGCUAAUAUCCUUUGCUAAUGACGGUACCUGAAGAAUAAGCACCGGCUAACUACGUG
rnacentral:rRNA from 1 species